CGUGGGGCUCAAACUCACGAGCCGUGAGAUCAUGACCUGAGCCAAUGUCAGACACUUAACCGACGGAGCCACCUCGGCGCCCUGUCCCCGUGACAGUCAAUGAUAAAGGCACACACGUGGCACUUACUAAGGCAGGCCCUGUUCUGAGUGUCCCUUGUGUGUACUUAUUUCCUCAUUACUCCUCACAACCCCGUGAGGUGCUGUCCCUGUCUCUGCUUCGCAGAGGAGGGAAACUUGGCCCAGGGAGUGGAGUGACUUUGGGGCCUCGCAGCAGACAGGCGGUGGAGCUGGGAUUCGAACCCCCGUCCCCUGCUCCAGAGCACCUGCCCUUUACCACCCGCUGUAUCCUCCCCUCACAGAAGAAAGUAAACGUGUCACAAAAGAGUACUCAUCCCCACUGUGUGCGAUGUUUCGGGAUUUUUGCUGUUUUGUUCCAUUUUAUCCCUCAAAUGCUGGUCAGCAUUGGUGUCCUGACCCUCUCUGAUUCAUCUCGAUCUGCUUUUUAGAAAAUUCUGUCAGGUCCUACUCCCCCAGCGCCUCCACAUACCCCCACCUCCAUCCCAGGCCCUGCUCCCCCAGUUCAGGCUCCCCGUGACUUCUUCCCUGGACAGCUUGAACCCCUGACUCCUGCCUUCCAUCCAUUCCCCACGUGGAGACCACAGUAAGCUGGAAAAUACGUCUCUGCCCGUAUCGUUCCUGGAUGUCAAACCCUUAAGUGCCCUGAUGCUCUUCGGGGCCUAGUACUCGCUCGGUACGUGAAGGUGGUCAGUAAAUGUAGGAGUGAAUACAUAAUUCUAAAGCUUACUGCGUGUUUUUCCUCAGGACGAAGAUCUUCUCCCAAGUAAAUAUUGUGAAGUGGACUUUCCCAUGAGAGUCACGAGAAAGCUGCGCAGCAUCAAAUACAAGCCUUUCUUAUUACAACCCAUUAUAGAAUUACAUUCAGAGGACACACUGCAAAUUGGCAAGUACCCUUAACCUAAGUAAUACAGUACGGGCUACCUCUCUGCUUUUCUUCCCCUUUCUUUUUAAAGAUGGUGUGUGUGUGUGUGUGUGUGUGCGCGCGCGCGCACGUCUGAGUCUGCGCUUGUGUGCACAUGACGUCACAGAGUGUAUACUUCUGCAUCACAUUUACUGUAAAGGAACUUGAAACAAUUUUUUGUAUGGCCCCUCUUAGAUGUCCAUAGGUCCCAAUGUUAAAUCUUUUUAAAAACAUUUCAGUGAGUUGCAAACAUUUCAAAUAUAGGAGCUUUUUCCCGAAAAUCUUUCCUUGGAAAAAUCCAGUCCGGCAGCCUCAGACCCUGACUCCUACAUGGCUGCUUCACUGAGAGGGAAUGCACAUCCCCACCACUGUUGUCUCGUACCUGAGCCGCUUCACGUUAGGUUAGGUCCUUGGCCCCGGGGCUCAGUUUUUCCCCGUAAGUUUUCAGUAUGAGUGUUUCCAACAACUCUUUCCUCCCUUCUAAGCCUUUAAAACUAAGAUCACAAACACUCUUCCAGAAUGUUCCAUUGUGUUCAGUGUGUGUCUGACAGAGAAGUUCAAGGGGCUUAUUAAUAAUUCAGGUCAGAAAACAUGCUCAGAGAGGAUGGCCUUAGAUGGUGGGCACAGAUAACACAGGAAACGUCAGGCAACUAGACAGGCCUCUACACCAGCACAGUGCCCUCGUCACGCUCCUAGUGAACAGACUCCCACAGAAACUAAUAUCUCCUCCAUCCUUUGUGUCCCUCGUACAAAUUUUAAGUAGAACCUCCUCAGGCUUUGCCAUUGGCUGGCACAUCUGCUUUCUCUACAUCGUAGCCGUCAUACUUUUCUGUGUAUUUGGUUAAUAUUUGCCUCAGAAGGAUUAGCUGUAAUGAAAGGGUUAGCACUUUGCAUUGCCUUUGACCCAUCAGUGUAGAAACAGGUCAAGUAGAAAGUAAAGACCCUGCGUAAUCUCUCCCCCCACCACGAUAACCACUGUGCAGGGUGUUUUCUCCUGUGGAUGGACAGUGUCCCUACAGGCAGAUAAAUAUCACGCGUAAGAAAAUACACACGUAAAUAGAAUCCUGUGCCCGGCCCGCUAAAGGUUCAGUAAAUUUUUGUUGAAGGAAUGUAUGCAUAUAUUGAAUAAAUAAAUAUAUAUGAUGUAGAUCAACAUGUGUUUGUUGAAAGAGUGAAUCUAUACUUCUAUAAAUAAAUAAAUACAGUUUUAUGUAUAAUUUUAGUAAAGUGAAUCAUUUACACGUACUGUUUUGAAACUUGUUCUUCGUGCAUCCUAGUGAAUCACGGCUGUCUUCAUGUUGCCAUAUUAGAUCUACCUCGUUAUUUCUGGUGACUUCGUAGUACUCCUCUGCAUGGAAAUUCCAUUUUACUUAACGUAUUUGCGACUGAUGGUCCUUUAGAUUGCCGCCUUCUUUAUGGUUUCCUGUGAAACAGUUUUGUAGAAAGCCUAGUUAUAUGUGCAUGUUUGCAGGAAUUGCCAGUUCAAAAAAUUGUACCUUAUGAAUUCUAAUAGCUACUGCCAAGCCGUGCUUCAAGACCCUUUCGACUAAUUUGUAUUUUCACUAGAGUAGAUGAGGGUUCUCUUUCUCUACACCCUCACUAACACUGGCUACUACCAUUUUAAAAAAUUCCUGCCAGCCUGCCAAAUCUAUGAAUUAAAAAAUUUUUUGUAACUUUUUUUGUUUGUUUUAAAUUUUUUAUAACUUUGAACGUGCUGGUGAAACGGAGUACCCUUCCUUCCUUCUGUUGGCCUGUGGGAUUUCUUUGUAAAUUUCCUUUGCUCAUAUAGUUUCCAGUUGCAUUGUUUCAUUUUCUUUUCAAUUUAUAGGAAUCCUUUACAACAUAAAGCAAUGUUCUUUGAUAUAAAUCCCUCGUCAACUGUUGAUUGGCAGAUUUCUUUCCUAGCCUGUCACUUGGUUUUUAACUCUGGGUUUGUGUCUUGUGUAGGCAAAUUUUCUAGUCCUGGCCUUGAUAGUUUUUGAUCUUGCCAUCAUACUGGGAGAGGGACAGUUGAAAUAAAAAUUAAUGAAAAUACAAAUGUGAGUGAAAAUUUGAGAAAAGUGAUAGGCGAUGAUAACACUGACACAUUUUCAUUGAAAAACUGCCCUAUUUCAUUAAACGUUUGAGGCUGUGAUUGCAAGAAUCGCACUAUUUAUUUACCGUCAGGAAAGAAAAGGUGCUGAUAAGUUAAACCGAAACGUUAUUGACUGAUGCAUCCUCAUUUCAGAAACGUGAAACUGAGAAAAAAUACGCAUCUUGAAAUUGAUCAUUUCUUAAAGCUGAAAUAUGCAUGAGGUGAAACUUAAAAGUAUAUAAAUGGGCACACAAUGAAAAGUCAGUCCCAAUGAGUAAAUCAAGG